rnacentral:rRNA from 1 species
GGGUGAGUAACGCGUAUCCAACCUGCCUUACACUCUUGGACAGCCUUCUGAAAGGGAGAUUAAUACAAGAUGUUAUCAUGAGUAAGCAUUUUCGCAUGAUUAAAGGUUUACCGGUGUAAGAUGGGGAUGCGUUCCAUUAGAUAGUAGGCGGGGUAACGGCCCACCUAGUCUUCGAUGGAUAGGGGUUCUGAGAGGAAGGUCCCCCACAUUGGAACUGAGACACGGUCCAAACUCCUACGGGAGGCAGCAGUGAGGAAUAUUGGUCAAUGGACGAGAGUCUGAACCAGCCAAGUAGCGUGAAGGAUGAAGGUUCUAUGGAUUGUAAACUUCUUUUAUACGGGAAUAAACGAAUCCACGCGUGGAUUUUUGCAUGUACCGUAUGAAUAAGGAUCGGCUAACUCCGUGCCAGCAGCCGCGGUAAUACGGAGGAUCCGAGCGUUAUCCGGAUUUAUUGGGUUUAAAGGGAGCGUAGAUGGGUUGUUAAGUCAGUUGUGAAAGUUUGCGGCUCAACCGUAAAAUUGCAAUUGAUACUGGCAGUCUUGAGUACAGUUGAGGUAGGCGGAAUUCGUGGUGUAGCGGUGAAAUGCUUAGAUAUCACGAAGAACUCCGAUUGCGAAGGCAGCUUACUAACCUGUAACUGACAUUGAUGCUCGAAAGUGUGGGUAUCAAACAGGAUUAGAUACCCUGGUAGUCCACACGGUAAACGAUGAAUACUCGCUGUAGGCGAUAUACGGUCUGCGGCCA